rnacentral:rRNA from 1 species
CACUGGAACUGAGACACGGUCCAGACUCCUACGGGAGGCAGCAGUAGGGAAUCUUCCGCAAUGGGCGAAAGCCUGACGGAGCAACGCCGCGUGAGUGAUGAAGGUCUUCGGAUCGUAAAACUCUGUUAUUAGGGAAGAACAUAUGUGUAAGUAACUGUGCACAUCUUGACGGUACCUAAUCAGAAAGCCACGGCUAACUACGUGCCAGCAGCCGCGGUAAUACGUAGGUGGCAAGCGUUAUCCGGAAUUAUUGGGCGUAAAGCGCGCGUAGGCGGUUUUUUAAGUCUGAUGUGAAAGCCCACGGCUCAACCGUGGAGGGUCAUUGGAAACUGGAAAACUUGAGUGCAGAAGAGGAAAGUGGAAUUCCAUGUGUAGCGGUGAAAUGCGCAGAGAUAUGGAGGAACACCAGUGGCGAAGGCGACUUUCUGGUCUGUAACUGACGCUGAUGUGCGAAAGCGUGGGGAUCAAACAGGAUUAGAUACCCUGGUAGUCCACGCCGUAAACGAUGAG